UACAGAGGUCCCGAGCGUUGUUCGGAUUCAUUGGGCGUAAAGGGUGCGUAGGCGGCGGGGCAAGUCUGAUGUGAAAUCCCGGGGCUCAACCCCGGAACUGCAUUGGAUACUGCCUUGCUAGAGUACUGGAGAGGGAACUGGAAUUUACGGUGUAGCAGUGAAAUGCGUAGAGAUCGUAAGGAAGGCCAGUGGCGAAGGCGAGUUCCUGGACAGUUACUGACGCUCAGGCACGAAAGCAUGGGGAGCAAAAGGG
rnacentral:rRNA from 1 species